UUGGAUGGUUUUCUAAGAAAUAAUCAUGUUUGCAUAUCUUUUAUGGAUUAUUGCCAUUAGUUUUGCUGGUAAAGAUAUUUUAUGGAUUAGAUAUUUUAUGAGAUACAUAUCUUUCAUUGUUGUAUCUAAAGGAUCUAUUACUAUGUAUUAUGAUAAUCAAGCUACAAUUCACAAUACCAAAAAUAAAAGAAUGUCAAGUAAC
rnacentral:lncRNA from 1 species